rnacentral:misc_RNA from 1 species
AGUCAUAAUCAAGUUACGCGAGGAGCAUCGAUGCAGACGUGCCAAUUGCACAAAUCAAGGGAUCGUGUAGAGUGGGUCUUGAUCUGUAAGUGGUAGAGCGAACAGUCCGGCUGCCUCCCGAAACUGUCUUACAUGUCCCCCAACAGCCUGAAGGCCGAAUUACAACCCUUGAUUAUCUACACUUGUUGCUUUUCGGGGAUGCUCAAGUGCCCCGAGAGGACCCAACUCUCUUGCCAUUUUCAGUGACGUCUGAGUACUAUAUAAUAUUUUGAAAAGC